UUAAUAAACUCUUUGAUUGAUUAAGAGAGUCGUUCUGUCUUCCUGCACCGAGCGCUCCCGCUGCAACUGAGGCUUUCCACAGGACAGGUGAUCCACUCUCUGGUUCCUCUUCAUGAACGGACCAAAAACGGCCGGUCCUUUCAAAUGGUGACCUCCGACGUGUUCUCUUCACCCAGAAGUAUGUUGCAGCUAAUAUUAAUCCUGUGCCUGGUGGAACGUGCUGGCGGAUCCCCCAUGGAUAACGUUUUCUGGCAGUAUGCUAACUGGACUGCCAAGCAGUACACCAAUGACUCCUGCUACGUGUGUCACCUGAUGCCCUCCAGUGUGAACAAGCACUCCAUGGUCACGGCCCCUCAGGAUCUCUGCUACUCUGCAGGCUGUAGCACACACCUGUCUGUCUCCUGACUGUUUGAAUGUUACUCAUUAUGAUUACCCUCACAUUAAUUAUUCUCUUUCUUUAUCACAGGAUUUUUGUUCUAAAACUCGCAACACUACAGAUUUUGCUACAUGUUUGCAGUACAUUCUUAAAUAUGUCCUUACUAACUCCUUACUAACUCCUUAUUAACUACUUACUCCUUAUUUUACUAUGGCAGUCCCUUUUAUCUGUAUGGUUUUGUUGUUGCUGUGUCUGGGUCCUUGUUUUUUCAGAUGCCUCAUGGAAAGGGUCUAUGCGCUGGCCUCCGCGAUGCGACCCCCGCGGCCCGUAUACCAGCCUCUCAUCUCCAGCACCAACCAUAUGUAUGUGUGUUCUCACGCACCACUGUGACUCGCCCGGUUAUGCCUCACCAAUUGGUGAAGCAUAAAAGAGGGGAAUGAAAGGGUUAACUCUGCUCCAACUCUGCUCUAAGCAGACUUUGCCGUAAGCAUAGCUACUGUCCUUGGCAGUUUUGCACAAACAACUUGCUCCUCUUAUCGGGACAACAUUCUGUCCAGAACCAUUUGUUCUCUUUCGUAAGUAAGAUUAUCGUACACAGAGCAGAAGCCCCCCUCCUUUGGGCAGUUCCGGUGGUCCGUGAGUGUCAGCUUAGCAUUUCAUGACUGUUAGACAACUUAUUUGGGUCCACCCUGUUUGCUUGUACGCAACAGGGCAGGACGUGUUUGUAUAAAAGAAGGAGUGCCCUUCUUUCUGUGUGCAGAAGACUUAAUAAACUCUUUGAUUGAUUAAGAGAGUCGUUCUGUCUUCCUGCACCGAGCGCUCCCGCUGCAACUGAGGCUUUCCACAGGACAGGUGAUCCACUCUCUGGUUCCUCUUCAUGAACGGACCAAAAACGGCCGGGGUCCUCUCUGUGUGGAGUUUGCAUGUUCUCCCCGUGUCUGCG
ensembl:lncRNA